GAAAAUCAAUAUCUAUUUCUAUACUUUCUUAAAAAUAAAUAAUGUAUUUUUAUUCCUUAAUUACCACUCUUUUACAACAAUGGAGGAAAUGUUUUAGUACAAAAUAUAUUCACAGAAAGAGUCCAUUCUCAGGAGGCUAAGGCAGGAUAACUGUCAUGCAUUUGAGGCCAGCCUGGGCUACAGAGUGCUACACCAGCCAGGCCUAUAUUGCAAGAACCAUUUGUAAAAGCAAAGACCAAGCUGGGCGUGGCCUUUAAUCCCAGCACUCGGGAGGCAGAGGCAGGUGGAUUUCUGAGUUCGAGGCCAGCCUNNNNNNNNNNNNNNNNNNNNNNNNNNNNNNAAAAACCAAAAAAAAAAAAAAAAGAAGUCAAAUAUGGAAUACCCUGAAAAUGGUAAGGCCUCGCAGAUUACAAAGCAAAGGUCGGGGCUGGAGAGAUGGCUCAGUGGCUAAGAGCAGUGACUGCUCUUCCAAAGGUCCUAAGUUCAAAUCCCAGCAACCACAUGGUAGCUCACAACCAUCUGUAAUGAGAUCUAACGCCCUCUUCUGGAGUGUCUGUAUACACUACAGUGUACUCACAUACUUUAUUUAUUAAUAAAGUAAAUCUUUAAAGUCUACACAGCAAUCCCAGGAAGGAGACAGUACUGCCAUCAUUCUCAUUUACAGAUGAGGAGACUGAGACAGACAGAGGAAUUCGAUCUCUUGUGCAAGAUCACCCAGCUAGCAAUGGUACAUAGGGAAAGGGGUGUAACUAAGUCCAGGAACAGAGACUGCUUUCUAGCUACCAAACUCUCCUGCUUUAAAAGAGUAACUCAUUCUAUACUAAAAUAAUGAGAAAAUAAUAAUGAAAACAUUUUUUAGUCCUUGAAAUUUAAAAACUUAAACAGGCUCCUGAGUUGCUACAGUUACAUGGUUUGAAAGUGGUCUGUCCCUUAAGUCUUCAUGCUUUGGAGGUUUGGUGCCCAGGGCGGCAGUGUUGGUGAUGGUGUGGAACUGUUAAGAAGUAGGGCCUUGUGGGAGUCAUUAGACUAUGGGGAGAAAUGCCCUGGGAGAGAAUGCUGGUUUCCUGUGGUGCACUCUUAAGGGAGCCAGUAGUUACAGAAGCCUGAGCUAUAUAUGCGACUUUCUAUAUGCUUCCUGUUUAACGACAUUUCCCUAUAUAACCUGUGGUAAUGCCGUCAAGUGUCACACUGCUUUGCCAGUUGCCAAAGGAAUGGGCCUGUCCAAUCGUGACUUCCGAUCUCUAAAAUUAUGAGCCAAAAUAAAAAUAAGACUUUUUUCUUUAUAAAAUUGGCCUCAUUACGAUAAAUCACUGCAGUGCUCUAAAAGCAGCUAAUACAGAACUGAAGGAACCAUGUCUAAGAUACCAUGUUCUGCAGAGCCUCACUUACACUCCACACAAUAGCA
ensembl:antisense